UAGAAGGUGGCUGUGUGGAGGUGUAGGUUUCAGGUAUAGAAGGUGGCUGUGUGGAGGUGUAGGUUUCAGGUAUAGAAGGUGGCUGUGUGGAGGUUUCAGGUGUACAAGGUGGCUGUGUGGAGGUGCAGGUUUCAGGUGUAGAAGGUGGCUGUGUGGAGGUUUCAGGUGUAGAAGGUGGCUGUGUGGAGGUUUCAGGUGCAGAAGGUGGCUGUGUGGAGGUUUCAGGUGUAGAAGGUGGCUGUGUGGAGGUUUCAGGUGUAGAAGGUGGCUGUGUGGAGGUUUCAGGUGUAGAAGGUGGCUGUGUGUAGGUUUCAGGUGUAGAAGGUGGCUGUGUGGAGGUUUC